rnacentral:rRNA from 1 species
UACGGAGGGGGCUAGCGUUGUUCGGAAUUACUGGGCGUAAAGCGCGCGUAGGCGGAUUGAAAAGUCAGAGGUGAAAUCCCAGGGCUCAACCUUGGAACUGCCUUUGAAACUAUCAGUCUGGAGUUCGAGAGAGGUGAGUGGAAUUCCGAGUGUAGAGGUGAAAUUCGUAGAUAUUCGGAGGAACACCAGUGGCGAAGGCGGCUCACUGGCUCGAUACUGACGCUGAGGUGCGAAAGCGUGGGGAGCAAACAGG